AGCGGGAUGCAACAGGCUCAAAACUCAAUUGAAAAAGGUUGUAUAGCGAAUUAUUAUUUGCUAAUUAUAGCGAGGGUGUUUGCAAGGCUGCCAAGCAAUUUGAUACAAUUGGGAGAAAAAACCUGGUCACCUCGCAAAAAAGACGGACGCGAGGUCACAUGCAAUGAUAGAAGUCGACAAUGAUACUUUAGCCCACAUUAGGAAUGAGCUAAGUGAGACUACUGAAAUAUGUAACCAUGGACCGCCGUUCCACCUUCCUGCUGAAGUGAGCACAGCACAACAAGGCGACCAGAACUGUCUAUCACAGCCCUAACUGCUGCUGCACGAAGACCACUCUUUCCUAAAAAGGUCCGGAAGUUUGAGCACGUCAACCGCCAGUGGUCCUUGCCUGCAGACACACAACCCAACACAACCGCCACAGCCCCCAAAACGGCCUCAACUCGUACACCCGCAGACACCCAUCCCAACACGCCCGCCCCGGGUUAAACAAACUGCUUGUCCCUUUCUCCCCCUUUUACCUCCACACACCCUAUCAAUGUUACAGGACUCUGACUUGCAGGCUCAAACUCUGCACUGACCCAUGCACUGCUACUGCUAUACUGCUUUUUGUGAAACCACCCUAGAAUAAGAGUGCUAGUUUACUGUGUAAAAUGAUGAUGAUGUUAUGUUGGUCUAGCAGACGAUCCUUUAAAGACUAAGGAUGCAGAGAAGGAUGGCAAGAAGGAGGAGAAGACUGGAAAGACGGAAGACUUAGAAGUAAACAAACUAGCACAGUGGAUCUGGGGCGAUUCCAGGGUCAGUUAUCUGGCCCAAAUGUAUUACUUGGGGCUCGGGCCGAUUCCGGGGUCAGUUAUCUGGCCCAAAUGUAUUAGUUGGGGCUCGGACCGAUUCCGGGGUCAGUUAUCUGGCCCAAAUGUAUUACUUGGGGCUCGGGCUGAUUCCAGGGUCAGUUAUCUGGCCCAAAUGUAUUUCUUGGGGCUCGAGAUGAUUCCGGUGUUAGCUAUCUGGCCCAAAUGUAUUUCUUGGUGCUCGGGCCCAUUCCGGUGUCAAUUAUCUGGCCCAAAUGUAUACAUUACAUGGGUCUCGGGCCGAUUCCGGUCAUAGUUAUCUGGCCCAAAUGUUAUUUAUUUUUCCAUAUUUUCUCAUUGUUUCUGUGAUAAA